GCCAGGAUGACCCCCGGUGGUCUGGGGUGCAGGCUUCAAACCUGUAGCUGCCUAGUGGCAGAGUGGUUCGAUUCCACCUUCCAGGC
rnacentral:tRNA from 1 species